rnacentral:rRNA from 1 species
GAUGAACGCUGGCGGCGUGCCUAAUACAUGCAAGUCGAGCGAACAGACGAGGAGCUUGCUCCUCUGACGUUAGCGGCGGACGGGUGAGUAACACGUGGAUAACCUCCCUAUAAGACUGGGAUAACUUCGGGAAACCGGAGCUAAUACCGGAUAAUAUUUUGAACCGCAUGGUUCAAUAGUAAAAGAGGGUUUUGCUGUAACUUAUAGAUGGAUCCGCGCCGCAUUAGCUAGUUGGUAAGGUAACGGCUUACCAAGGCAACGAUGCGUAGCCGACCUGAGAGGGUGAUCGGCCACACUGGAACUGAGACACGGUCCAGACUCCUACGGGAGGCAGCAGUAGGGAAUCUUCCGCAAUGGGCGAAAGCCUGACGGAGCAACGCCGCGUGAGUGAUGAAGGUCUUCGGAUCGUAAAACUCUGUUAUUAGGGAAGAACAAAUGUGUAAGUAACUAUGCACGUCUUGACGGUACCUAAUCAGAAAGCCACGGCUAACUACGUG